UACGUAGGGCGCAAGCGUUGUCCGGAAUUAUUGGGCGUAAAGAGCUCGUAGGCGGCUUGUCACGUCGGGUGUGAAAGCCCGGGGCUUAACCUCGGGUCUGCAGUCGAUACGAGCAAACUAGAGUGUUGCAGGGGAGACUGGAAUUCCUGGUGUAGCGGUGAAAUGCGUAGAGAUCGGGAGGAACACCAGUGGCGAAGGCGGCUCGCUGGGCCGGCCCUGACGCUGAGGCGCGAAGGCGUGGGGAGCGAACGGG
rnacentral:rRNA from 1 species